GUAAGGUCCGAGUCUUUAUCGUGUAUGUAUGUAACUAUGGCACGUAGUUAACAACUAGUACAUAUUUGCUCAAUUAAUAAAAGGAUAGAUAAGUUAAUGAUGAUACUCUUCAGUGAGUAGUGUGUCAAUUGCUAAAAUGUGAAACAUACGUGGAAGCACCCAUCAGGUGUAACUAACCCAUGGGGGAGAGGAGGCGCGCGAAGAAGGCCGCUAGCUGGAUGAGGCUGGUAGCGAUGAGAACAAGAGGGUGUUGUUAGAAAGAGAAACAGCACGUGUGAAGACUUAGGGACUAGAGAAAACAAGUGCCUUCAAGGAAAGAAAAAGAAUUUGGGAGUUAUCCUGAGGACAGAGUUAUUCUGAAGGAUUUUAAGCAAGAGAAUGAUACGGCCAACUUUAUGUAUUAGGGAUAGGUUGAGACCUGUGCUGUGUGAGCAGGCAGGACUGAAGGGAGAGAAACCGUUGUGGGAAGAGAUGAUGGUGGGCAGAACCCAGGGAGUGGGAAUGGGGAAUGUGAGAGUCUGGUGGAGCCAAGAAGUAUUUAGAGACAAAGAGGAUAGAACUGGUAUUAGAUAUGUUUGGGGAGAUAUGAGGGGGGAAAUAGACAAGGUGACUUCCAGGUUUCUGGCCUGUGCAGCUAGAUGGACGGGAGUCACAUUCCUGAGAGAGUGAACUCUGAGAUGAACAUGUUGAAGGAGAAGGGGCCACUCGCUCCCCCUCCCUUCUAACAAACAGGCGUCCUGGCAUCUGGCAUUUGAUCUGUGGGUUGAGAGCACUUGAGCCAUCCGGAUGGUCUGGUCUGGUGGUUACAUGUGUGAUAGGCUCGGGAUUUUAACCUAAGUGGUAUGAAUCUCGGCCUUGCUACUUAGAGGUAUGAUUUGGGACUCAUCACCAAAAUUCUCAGGACCUUUAUCUCUUCAGGUAAUAAUGUGCCCGUCUCAUAGAGCUGUUAGGAUUAAGUGAGGUAGAGUCCUUACAUGCUUAGCAGCCGAGGCCAUGCUACCACUGAGGGAGAGCAGCGGGACUGGAUAUCCAUAAAUACAUCCCCUCACAGGUGGAGGGCAGCAGGAGGAGGAGGAGGCCGGCAGCCUGGCAGGAAAAUGCUCCCAUCUUGGGGCAAGGUGGGAGGGGAGGCAGAGAGUGAGGAAGGAUGUGAGUAGAAGCACCUGGCUCGGUGCCUGGCACAGGGCUGGCCCUUAAUGGCCAUGAAUGGCUGGGAACUUGAGAAGGGAUCUCGCCUUCAAGGGUCUGUCGGGUAAGGGAGGGAGCUGUGAGAGCACCCCAUUCAUCACACACACCUUCAUUCAACCAGCCUUUAUCAACUGUGGCCAUGGAGAGGCUGAGAACAUGAGAUUGAUAAAAUACAGUUUCUGUCCUCAAGGAACUCUCUCGGGACUGAGGGGAGAGUAAAAAUAUCACAGGGACGGAGAUGGACUUACAGAAAGAGAGGCCCUGGAAGGGUCUUGAGGGGGAAGAGAAGGACAAGAGGAGCCAGGAGGCAGACAUCCUUUGAGUGAAGAGGUCCUGAUUUUGAGAACAUCCUUGAGCUCAGUCCGAACAGAAACCGGCCUCCCGGUAGUCCCCGGGGCAAUCUUCUACAACACAGUGUCCCCCUC
ensembl:lncRNA